rnacentral:rRNA from 1 species
CGAGGGGUAACAGGGAGUGCUUGCACUCUGCUGACGACCGGCGCACGGGUGCGUAACGCGUAUGCAACCUACCUUCUACAGGGGGAUAGUCCAGAGAAAUUUGGCAUAAUACCCCAUACGAUCAUUUAUUGGCAUCGAUAGAUGAGGAAAACUCCGGUGGUAGAAGAUGGGCAUGCGUCCUAUUAGUUAGUUGGUAAGGUAACGGCUUACCAAGACACCGAUAGGUAGGGGUCCUGAGAGGGAGAUCCCCCACACUGGUACUGAGACACGGACCAGACUCCUACGGGAGGCAGCAGUGAGGAAUAUUGGACAAUGGAGGCAACUCUGAUCCAGCCAUGCCGCGUGCAGGAAGACGGCCCUACGGGUUGUAAACUGCUUUUAUACAGGAAGAAACGCCGCUACGUGUAGCGGUUUGACGGUACUGUACGAAUAAGGAUCGGCUAACUCCGUGCCAGCAGCCGCGGUAAUACGGAGGAUCCAAGCGUUAUCCGGAAUCAUUGGGUUUAAAGGGUCCGUAGGCGGUUUUUUAAGUCAGAGGUGAAAUCCUGCAGCUCAACUGUAGCAUUGCCUUUGAUACUGAAAGACUUGAGUUAUUGUGAAGUAGUUAGAAUGUGCAGUGUAGCGGUGAAAUGCAUAGAUAUUACACAGAAUACCGAUUGCGAAGGCAGAUUACUAACAAUAUACUGACGCUGAGGGACGAAAGCGUGGGUAGCGAACAGGAUUAGAUACCCUGGUAGUCCACGCCGUAAACGAUGGAUACUAGCUGUUCGACCAACAUUGGUUGGUUGAGUGGCUAAGCGAAAGUGAUAAGUAUCCCACCUGGGGAGUACGCUCGCAAGAGUGAAACUCAAAGGAAUUGACGGGGGCCCGCACAAGCGGUGGAGCAUGUGGUUUAACUCGAUGAUACGCGAGGAACCUUACCAGGGCUUAAAUGUAAGUUGCAUA